GACGAACGCUGGCGGCGUGCUUAACACAUGCAAGUCGAACGGAAAGGCCAUGCUUGUAGGGUACUCGCGUGGCGAACGGGCGAGUAACACGUGGGUGAUCUGCCCUGCACUUAGGGAUAAGUAUGGGCAACAGGGUCUAAUAAAGGACAGGUGAUAUAUUUAGCGUGAUGGUUGGAAAGUUUUUUCGGUGUAGGGUGAGAUUGCGGCAUAACGGCUUGUUGGGGGGGUAAUGGCCUACCAAGGCGGCGACGGGUAGCCGGCCUGAGGGGGUGGACGGAGACCCUGGGACUGAGGUACGGCCCAGGCUCCUACGGGUGGCAGCAGGGGGGAAGAUUGCAGAAGGGGCGCAAGGCGGAUGCAGCAAGUCCGCGGAGGGGAUGACGGUCUUCGGGUUGAAAACUACUUUCGCUAGGGACGAAGCUUUUUGUGACGGUACCUAGAUAGAAAGCACCGGCUAACUACGUG
rnacentral:rRNA from 1 species